rnacentral:tRNA from 1 species
AAGAGUGUAGUAUAACGGUUAGUGCAACGAUCUCCAAAAUCGUCAGUAGAGGUUCGAUUCCUUUCACUCUUG